UUGAUCAGCACCUUGUCUUGUCUCCACUCUGUGUGUUUGUCCUUUCUCUCACUCCCUCCCUCAGGUGACUGUUCGACUGUCCUGAGGGUCGGGACACGUGGCACCCGAACAGAGACCUGAAUAUGAGGAUCCAGUGAAGAGCACCAGAAUAAAGAAAAAAGAGAGAAAAGGCCGGCAGAAAACAGAAGAGGAUGAAAAAGAAGUGUCCCGCUCAUACUGGAGAAGCUACAAAACACGUUGCGGCCCAUUGCCUGGAGGCCCUCUCUGUUUGGGGAUUGCCUCGCUGCAUUAAAACUGAUCAUGGCAGUGGAUAUACUAGUAAUGGCUUUGCCCGCUUUCUGUGCACAAUUUCGUAUUUCCCACAAGACUGGCAUUCCUUACCUCCAAGGUCAAGGUAUUGUAGAAAGAGCUCAUGGUACUUUAAAAGCUGCUUUACAUAAAAUUCAAAAGGGGGAGUUGUAUCCCCUGACGCCGCGUAAUUAUUUAAAACAUGCCUUAUUUGUACUUAAUUUCUUAAAUGUGGAUAAACAAGGAUCUCGUGCAGCUGAACGAUUUUGGCAUUCCAAAACACAACCUCAUUAUACCACAGUCAUUUGGAAAGGUCCUUUAAUGGAAUCAUGGAAUGGGCCCGACCCUGUGUUGAUAUGGGGUCGAGGACAUGUCUGUGUUUUUCUGCAAACAAUGAUGGCGCUCGCUGGCUUCUAGAAUGCUUGGUGCGGUGUAUGGACACCCCGAAAGACCAGGAGGAUGCUGUGCCUAUGGGUCUGCCUGAAGAUGGUGACACUCGUUGAAGCAGAAAUCUACUGGGCAUAUGGACCAACAAAUUACUGUCAGUUGUUCUAAUUGUACACUUCCUAGUUGUGUUAGCAAUGGGACCUCUUCUGUUUUUGUAGUAGAGCAACCGUCAUUUGUUAUGCUUCCUGUAAAUGCGUCUGAGGAGUGGUAUGAGGAAAAGGGAUUGCAAGUUUUGCGAGAGUUAGAACGUGCCCUAGCACGUCACAAGCAGGGGGUAGGACUCAUAAUAACAGGAAUGAUUGCAAUUAUAUCCAUUUUGGUGACUGCAGUCACCUCUGCCAUAGCUUUACCACAGACAGUACAAGCAGCUGGUUUUGUAGAUAAUGUAUCCAAAAAUAUUUCCAUAGCUUUACAUACUCAAGAAAGUAUUGAUGAAAAAAUCCAACAAAAAUUGGAUGCUCUUUACGAUACUGUUGUACAAUCUGGGAAACCGGGUAGAUGGGUUACAUGUGCGUUCUUCUGUCCGAUGGCAUGCUUUGUAUCAAUGGAUUUGUGUCAACCCUAAAAUCUAUAAUGAAAGCCAACAUGAUUGGGAAAAGGUCAAAAAACAUUUACAAGGUGUCUGGCGCGGAGCCAGUGAAACAAUGGCCAUUCUUACACUCUAUCGAGAGAUCUUAGAGAUAGAGGAGGCACGUUCCUCUCCCUUUAACGCAGCACAAGAAGCAAAUGAACUGCUGCAACAACUGUAUGGUCUCCUACCACACUGGACCUUGUGGCAACAGUGGUUCAUGCCUGCCGCUAUGGCAGCAGGUCUGGGCCUUGUGUUGCUGUGUUGUGCCCCCUGCCUUGUGCGAAUACUCGGGCGCUCCUUUCUUGGAGUUCACUCUGAAAUCCAUCGGUUAAAACUUCAAGCCAAGGCAUUAGAUGCAGAGGCUGGUGGUCAAUGACGGGUAAGAUCCUUGGGACGUUUCUCAACCUAAGACAGGGGGUGCAUGCAAACAUGCAUUACCCGAUGACGGGUAAGAGAAAAUGUCACCA